AGGUGGGAUUGGUGAUUGGGGUGAAGUCGUAACAAGGUAGCCGUUGGAGAACCUGCGGCUGGAUCACCCCCUUUCUAGGGAGAAUGGAA
rnacentral:rRNA from 1 species